GCUUGAACUCAGGAGGUAGAGGUUGCAGUGAGCUGAGAUUGUGCCACCACACUCCAACCUGGUGGCUUCAGGAACUGCUGCUGCUGUUUCUCAGGAGUGUCCCAGAAUGAUCAAGCUGGAGCCACCUCAGUGAUGAAUAUGGCCAUCCCCUUGUCCACAUAGGGGAAACUGAGGCCCAGAGGAGGGAAGCAACUUGCCUGAGGUUACAAGACAGAGUCUCACUUUGUCACCUGGGCUGGAGUGCAGUGGCAUGAUCUCAGCUC